UCCCCGUAUACGAAAAAUACGAUUCGUUUGCUACAUAGGCUGAUACAUGUGGGGACUUGCACUGGACUGCACGGUCAAACACAAGCCCAAUAGCAGCCCAUAGCCCCAAUCUGUUAGCGGCCACGCCCCAAUCCACCGAGCAAUAGGUAAUCCCAGUAAAUUCCCAAAUCGAGCCAUGCAGCCAGCGCCCAGCGAGGCCAACCUAGCCGCCGCCGGCUCACCGCCACAGAGCUCCGCCUCGCCGGACCGUCAGCCACCGUCCGCCAGCCGCCGGGCACCUGAUCCAGAUCUGCGUCCGCGGAUGGGGCGAACCAAAAGAAGAUGUCCCAGGUCUGGGAGGAGGCAGCGGCGGCAGAGCAUCUAACUCGUGCAAACGCGCAGCUACAGUUUGCAAAAUCAGCAAGCGCAAUCAGCAGAAUUCAAAGAUGCAGCGAGGAGGGAAUAUUUGAAGAAAGGCCCAUAUCAACACUAUGGUCAUGAUUUCUCUCGCAGCAUGUUCAUGUUAAAUUUUGUGAUUUUUGGUGGUUACACCACCUAGUUGUCGUGAAUCUUGAACUGUUCUACAUCAUUGGUUAUGUUAAUUUUACGGUGCAUCUAGCUUCAUAUUUGAACUUUAUGAGAUUUGGUUCAACAGACUUGCAUUUGUCAAUGAAAAAUUUGCAUCUCAAAUAUUUCGCCCCGGCUAAGUUCAAUUCCUGGAUCCGCCACUGACUAGAAGGAUUGCUUCAUGUGUGUAUAUGAGUUUGGUCCAAGACGCGUUGGGGUUGAAGCUGAGCAUACAGGACCGGCACAUGUCGGGGCCACAUUGCGUCCAAAUCAGGCUAGACCGACGCCGACGGUGGCCUCCGCCCGGAGUUCGUCACCGUCUUCGACGUUGGAUCCGGGGCCAGCGAGGGCUACCACUACCUAGAGGCAACACGGAGGGGAGGAUGUCAAAUCCGGUCUCGAGCACCAAUCUAGCAAGCUCUUCCCCGCUGAGAUCUGCAUCGCCGAUUGGCCCUGGUCCACGCCGCGACACGGAGUGGAUCAAGUUGCAAAAAGAGUGUCCAAUUACAUUGCAAACUGACAACAAAAUAUGUGCUGAUAAAUUUUGAAAAAAAAACGCUAAUUAAUUACUUGUCAUUUUUGUAUCUCGAGCAAUGUUUCGAAUUUUGAUUUGAAAUUUUGUAACAAGAGACAUCAAUGUUCCGUCGAUGUGCUGCAUUUUUUUCAGAAUUUUUUAAACA